ACCCGGAGCUCCGCGGCCGCCCAGCGCCCGUCCCCGCGCCGCACUCCCCGGCACUCCCCGGCGCUCCCCGCGCCGCGCGCCCCGCACCGGCUGGAGGCCCCGGCCCCCCGGCGUUCCCUCUCCGCGCACCUCCCGGCCCGCGCUAGCAGGUAGCAGGCAAGAGUGUGGUUAUCGUUGGACCAGGAUUCAGGAUCUGACUGAGUAGCUGACUCUUAAUCCAGUUUGUGUUGAUCACCAGGAGGAUCUGGACCUCAGUAUUACCACAUCUAGAGCUAUAAUCACAUCCCUGUUAAGCCUUCCUGAGAUCACACCAAAUGUCCUUGAUGGGAAUUGUAAACAACCCUUACUUCUGGUUUCUAAUGAUAUUCCAGGAAAGGAGCCUAACUAGAGUCAGUGAUAUGCCAACUCCACCUUUGCCUUCCACCAUGUUUGGAAGCUCCCUGAGGCCUCACCAGGAGCAGAUGCUCGUCCCAUGCUUCCUAUAAGCCUGCAGAACUGGAAAAGAAAGCUGGAUAAAGUAUUUAUAGAAGAUAGAGGACCUGUGGUGGCUCAUGCCUGUAAUCCAA
rnacentral:lncRNA from 1 species